GGAGAAUAAGGUUGGCAAAUUCCGUGUCAGCAGCCGCGGUAAUACGGAGAUCCAAGCGUUUUCGGAAUUUAUGGGUUUAAAGGGUGGGUAGGGGGCAAUUUAAGUCAGGGGUGAAAGACGGCAGGUUAAUGGUAGCAGUGCAUUUGAUAUGGAAAGGAUUGAAUGCGGUUGAAGACGGCGGAAUGAGACAAGUAGGGGUGAAAUGGAAAGAUAUGUGUCAGAACACCGAUUGCGAAGGCAGCUGUUUAAGCCGUUAUUGACGGUGAUGCACGAAAGCGUGGGGAUCGAACAGGAUUAGAUACCCUGGUAGUCCACGCCUUAAACGAUGAUAACUCGAUGUUUGCGAUAUACCGUAAGCGUCCAAGAGAAAGCGUUAAGUUAUGCACGUGGGGAGUACGCCCGCAAGGGUGAAACUCAAAGGAAUUGACGGGGGCCCGCACAAGCGGAGGAGCAUGUGGUCUAAUUGGAUGAUACGCGAGGAACCUUACCCGGGCUGGAAAGUUACUGAAGGAUGCAGAGACGCAUCCGUCCUUAGGGACAGGAAAGUAGGUGGUGCAUGGCAGUUGUCAGCUCGUGCCGUGAGGUGUUGGGUUAAGUCCCGCAACGAGCGCAACCCUUAUGUUUAGUAGCCAGCAUUUAAGGUGGGGACUAUAAACAGACUCCAUCCGCAGGCAGAGAGGAAGGAGGGGACGACGUCAUGUCCUCAUGGCCCUUACGUCCGCGCCUACACCAGUGCUCCAAUCGAUGGUAAAGCGGGCAGCUACAUAGCAAUAUUAUGCCAAUCUCGAAAAGCCAUUCACAGUUCGUAUCGGGGUCUGCAACUCGACCCCGUGAAGUUGGAUUCGCUUGUAAUCGCGUAUCAGCAAUGACGCGGUGAAUACGUUCCCGGGCCUUCGUACACACCCGCCCGUCAAAGCCUUGAAAAGCCGGGGGGGUACGGUAGGA
rnacentral:rRNA from 1 species